AACGAACGUUGUCGGCGUGGAUUAGGCAUGCAAGUCGAACGAAUCCCGAAGAUGUAGCAAUACAUCGACGGGGGAAGUGGCGAAAGGGGCAGUAAUGCAUGGGUAACCUACCUUCAGGUCGUGGAUAGCCUUUCUAACGAUUGGGUAAUACACGGCGUGGUCAAUGAGCGGCAUCGCUUGAUGACUAAAGAAUUUCGCCUGGAGAGGGGCCCAUGUCGUAUCAGCUUGUUGGUGAGGUAACGGCUCACCAAGGCUAAAACGCGUAGCGGGUGUGAGAGCACGACCCGCGCCACUGGCACUGAGACACUGGCCAGACUCCUACGGGAGGCUG
rnacentral:rRNA from 1 species